UGAAACACCAGCCAUUUGGACUGUCUCUUCCCUUUCUGMUCAGGAUGGGAAAGCCAAGGGAAUGCCUGGGGCAGGGAGAUCACAUGCAGGACACACRGGGAAACAUUUCCCCAUGUUGUGACACUGCUGUGCCUCUUUCACCCAUGUCUUUGCCCAYGCAGGCACCCCGUCCCCCAGCCCAGCAUCCCAGAAAAGACAUCAGCUCUUCCAGCAGAGACCAGAAAGGAGGAUCCCUCCAGAAGUGCCAGCGUCCUGGCUUCUGCAUCCUUAUUCCCGGGAGAGCAGGAGACACCAGGRCCUGUCACGCUCACUCAGGUAGGUCUGUUGGGGCCAUGCUCCCUGGGAGAGGUGCAGGACCACGAGCAUCACCUGAGAAGCAUUUUUAUAAUGCCC